GAUGAACGCUGGCGGCAUGCCUAAUACAUGCAAGUCGAGCGAAAACACGAGGAGUUUUCUCCCCUGACGUUGGCGGCGGACGGGUGAGUAACACGUGUAUAAACUACCUAUAAGACUGGGAUAAUAACGGGAAACAGGAGCUAAUAACGGAUAAUAUAUUGAACCGCAUGGUUCAAGAGUUGAAGAAGCUUUUUCUGACUCUAAUAGACGGAUCCGCGUCGCAUUAGUUAGUUGGUAAGGUAACGGCUUACCAAGGCUACGAUGCGUAGCCGACCUGAGAGGGUGAUCAGCCACCCUGGAAGUGAGAAACGGUCCAGACUCCUACGGGAGGACACAGUCGGGAAUCUUACGCAAUGGGCGAAAGCCUGACGGAGCAACACCGCGUGAGUGAUGAAGGUCUUCGGGUUGUAAAGCUCUGUUGUUAGGAAAGAACGAAAGUGUAAUUACCUAUGAACGUCUUGACGGUACCUAAACAAUAAGCCCCGGCUAACUACGUG
rnacentral:rRNA from 1 species